rnacentral:sRNA from 1 species
GGGGGUGCUCGGUUUCGACGGGGCGCUGAGGGUUUUGGGAGCAUGCCAAGGACCAGGGCCUUGUAAAAACUUGGAAAACAUUUAAAUGCUAAAUCUAACGAUAACGCAUUCGCUCUUGCUGCCUAAUAAGUAAGCAGGCGACAUCCUAGCCCUCGAAUGUCUGCGGCUUGGCUGGGGUGUAAAAUUUAGCAGACUGGUUUGAUUGGUCGCUCCGCCCAUGAUAACGAGAAAAUAGGAGCUUUUCCCAACUUAAGCUAUGGUUGCAGGCGUGGAAGGGAGAACUUAAACUUCAACCUAAGCAUGUAGCGCCUGAAAUUGUAGGUUCUUCGGACGAGGGUUCGAUUCCCUCCACCUCCAUUA